rnacentral:rRNA from 1 species
GACGAACGCUGGCGGCGUGCCUAAUACAUGCAAGUAGAACGCUGAAGGAGUAGCUUGCUUCUCUGGAUGAGUUGCGAACGGGUGAGUAACGCGUAGGUAACCUGCCUGGUAGCGGGGUAUAACUAUUGGAAACGAUAGCUAAUACCGCAUAACAGUAGAUAUCGCAUGAUAUCUACUUGAAAUGUGCAAUUGCAUCACUACCAUAUGGACCUGCGUUGUAUUAGCUAGUUGGUGAGGUAACGGCUCACCAAGGCGACGAUACAUAGCCGACCUGAGAGGGUGGAAGGGCAAAAUUGGAACGGGAAAAGGGCCAGAACUCCAAGGGAGGGAGCAGGAGGGAAACUUUGGAAAAGGAGGGAAGUCUGGACGAGGAAAGCCGGGUGAGGGAAGAAGGGUUUCGGAGCGUAAAGGUCUGUUGGAAGAGAAGAAAGAGUGGGAGAGUGAAAAGUUCACACUGUGACGGUAUCUUACGAGAAAGGGACGGCUAACUACGUG